rnacentral:piRNA from 1 species
UUCUAGAAACCGUCCAACCUCACAUGC